rfam:Rhodopirellula maiorica SM1 cSM10618, whole genome shotgun sequence.
CCAUGGGCUGACGCCCAUGGCUACAUCAUAUCGCCACUUCGUGGCU